GGGUUGUGAGGUUAAGCGACUAAGCGUACACGGUGGAUGCCCUGGCAGUCAGAGGCGAUGAAGGGCGUGCUAAUCUGCGAUAAGCGCCGGUAAGGUGAUAUGAACCGUUAUAACCGGCGAUACCCGAAUGGGGAAACCCAGUGUGACUCGUCAC
rnacentral:rRNA from 1 species